CAACUUUGAAAGAUCAAAUCAGAAAAGAAAGAUGGAAGUAAUCUUGGAGAUAGGAGUUUGGUGUUGUUGUCGAUGAUUCCCUGCAAGAAGAUACCAAAGAUAACUGAUCAACCCAAUCCCUCACAGUCGCAGACCUCAACAGAUCCUUCUGCUACUAAACAAAUUCAUCACGACGGGGAAAUUGGCGAGAGCAACCGCAGGGUGCCCAUUGUUGCCACUGUAAAGGACAGGGAUGAUGAUGGAGGCAGCAACAGUGAAACAAAGGCAAAAGCUGUGGAGAUUUAAAACCAGGUAUCACCAUUUCUCUAAUAUGUAGCCAUAAGGUGUGGUAAUUUCCAGUUUGAAUAAUGUGAACAUUUACGCUGAGUUGGGCUGCAAAUGACAAAACAAUUCUUGAGACUGAAUUGUGGGAUCUCUAUUGCAGUACGAGUAGCUUCUUCGUUCUUUUCUCUAUAUAACAGUAGCUUUUGUUUCCGUUUUGUGUAUUCAGAAGGAGCCUAUGCCCAAAUAUAGAUAAGGGUCAACAGGCUCAAUUAGCCUAUGUCCAAAAAUUCUACUACUUUGCCCCUCGCGGAGGAUUGUCUACAUUCACGGGCCAUAAGAACUCUAUCAAAGGCUGGGUAGAGGGGUUUUUAGUGGUGGAGUUAAAGAAAAGACGGGGUUGGCUUGAGAGUUUGAUCUCCCUUGGGAAGCCCUGGGAGAAUGUCUCUCUAGGUUGCAACGACCUACCAGCUGAGCCUUACCGAUCAGUCGGAUUCCUUCAGCUGACUUCUGUGGAUAAGAAGUAUGACGUCGAAAAGUGCUUGUACGCGUCUAACCUUCGGAAUAUUAAGGACGUGGGUAUCUUAUUUUAUCUGCCUGUGUUAAUUUUGUCUUUAUGACGCUUUGCUGAAAAUAGUUCUAACCUGUCUUAUUUUUGUAGCUCUUGCAGCUUCUUUAGUGAAAAUGGACCAGAAAAAAGGGUUUUACAAGGGUUCUGUGAAUUUAGCCAAAAAGUUUCGAAAAAAGGGUUUUAUAAGGGUUCUGUGAAUUUAGCCAAAAAGUUUCCUCUGUGAGGAGGGUGUUUCUCCUUUUAUCCCUCUCCUUUUAUCCCUCUCCUUUUAUCCCUUAGUGGCGUAUAAUGAGGUUUUCACCAUUGGGUCACGUGUCUCUGCUAUACUGAUAUGGACGUACGGAAAGAUCAGAUUCCUGAUACAGGCGUAACGGCCUCUGAUUCUCUCCGGGCGUACAUGCUGAGGGACCCACAAGAUGAAUGGGUCGGUUUCUUUCUUGGCUCCGAGCUGGAGAAACGUAUGAGUUGGGAGGGCCUGAUUGAGAAAUUCAGAUGGAACUCUGUCUUAAAGCAGAACGGGCUGGAACUGGUUUACACGGGAGACUUGAGAGCUUCCAGAUAAUGGGCUAUUGUCAUGAGUCUGACUCCAGACUGGAAUGAAAAAAUCCAAACAGUCAUCACAUUUAUUUGAGUGGUUACUAAUAUAUGAAAUGAUAAAUAAACUUUACCUCCAUUUAGUUCUGCAAUUUCAAAAUAUAAAUAUUCAGUUUAUGCAAUUUUAAGAUUUAUUUUCUCGAAUUUUAAAAUCACCCAUAUUCAAUCAUAUACAAUUCAAAAAUUAUAGUUAUUUGGUUAGAAGCUAAAUAGUUGACAUUAAAAAGAUAGAUAUUAAUUAAUGUAUUCUUAAAAAUAGAAAGAUUAAAUAUUUAAAAAUAUAAAAAAUUUUACCAAUUAAUUUUUUAAUUUUAUAAAAUACAUUAAAAAUUUGUUAUUUAAUUUUUUUUCAUUAAUUUUAACGGUUAAAUAUUAUAAAAAAAUUUAAAAUAUUUUUAAUAUAAAAAAAUUAAUUAAAAAAUUUUAAAAAUUAUUUAAUAAAUUGUUUAAAAUUAUAUUGAAUAGUAAAUUUUUUAAUUAAUUAAUUUUUUUAUAUAUAAAAAUUAAAUAAUAAUUAUGAGAUGGGAGUAAUUAAUAUUUAGUAUAGGUUAAAAAAACAACAGCUCCACAGAUAGUGGCGGCUGGUACGACUGACUGACCUGUGAUCCUGAUCGUGAAACGUGUAAUCAGACAAAAGGAAAGCGAAAGCGACACAUUAUGCGGGGCUUGGAGUUGGCGUUGCGUAAUGGGCCCUCUCUACAUCCUCCGUUUUGAUUCUGUCGGCCAUUAUUUUCCCAAGCAAUAUUUGUUAUUAAAUACGUUUCUUAAUCAUAUGAUUAUGAUUUGAUUUUGCCUUCACUCUCUUUUGGUCCUUUAUCUUGGCUUUCUAUUUGGAAUGAUUUUCCAUUUCUUUCUAAGAUUAAUAUUAACAUAUUCAAAAAAAUCAUUUUAUUUACUUAUUUCUUGGUGGUAAAAGCACACCACAAACGUCACACUUGGCAAGAAUCUAAUCUUGAAACCUUUAUAAAAUUUUAGAUAAUCUUUAACUUGAAGACUCAAUUUCAAAAUCUCUCCACCCUCGGAAACGAAUAUUUUUGUUCUCUGAUAUGAUAUGCAUAUGCAGUAGUAUACUGAACCAAAUGACGAGCCCACAACAAAACCGAACAAACAAUGUAUAUUUACGAUGCCAUUUGAGACAGGUAGACAGGAAAAGAUAUUCACAAGAAGAUUUACAAGUUGAAAUUUGUUGCAAGUUUCAGGCAAUGACUUUAAGAUCAACUGCUGAUUGACCUAAAAACCUAAACUCUAUGCAAACUAAGCCAAACUAUACCAACAUUUACACAAGCUGACUGACGGAGCCUAGUUUAGCUAAUGACUUGCUCAAGAAUAAGAUUUUAUUAAACCCAAGUUGUAAAGGAACCUCUCUGAUCUAGAUCGAAACAGAUUACCAAAUGAGAAUCUCCUGUGUUCCUGAAGAGGAGUUGAUUGAGCAUCCUCAUUCACGCGGAGUAUAGUCAGUCCAAUCUCUUUUCUAACUACUUCAAUUGUUUCACUCUUCACUGGAUGUCCUGAUACAUCAGUCACAUAGAAAACGUUUACAGCCUGGGAACCCCUGGUCGUAACCUCUGCUUGAGUCACUGAGAGACCAUUUUCUCUAAAUAUGCGAGUCACCUCAGACAAUAGGCCAACCCUGUCUUCACUGCAAAGUUCAAGUCUUAUACCCUGCAUUUUGAAGAGUCGAGAACAUGAAGCGUGAAUCAUAGAAAAUCGGAGACUAACAUCAAAGUCGAACUAUGCAAAUGUCUGUACCUCAGGAAUUCUCCUUUUAAUAGCUGCCUCUAAACAGUGGAUUAGCCUUUGCCUCUCUGCUUCAGAACUAACAGGGGAACCGUCCAUAUGCCUGAUAUAAUAUUCCUAGCCCACAAGAAGAAAUGAGAUCCUAUGCAGCAAUUGUUUUAUCAAAUAGGGUACAAUAAUGAGAAAUUAAUAAGCAGUAAAAAUAACCCGUGAUUGAGUAAGAAGCUCAACUACAACAAACACAUUGGUUUCAAGAUAAUGAGAAUCUUAGAGAAUGAAUUUGACUUUUGGAAGAAAAGAUUUUCAACUUGAAGUAAAUUAUCCCAAAUAUUAAAAAAAAAAAAAGCAUGUUGAUGGAAUUAAGCAAAACCUGAUAAGCCUCUGGCCCUUCAGCUAUGACAGUUGCAUGAUAUACAACAUAUUGCAUAUCUGUUAAUGUGCAGACAGCAUCAAAGAGUAGCUUAGGGUGGUCAGGGCACCUCAAAUUCACAACAGUGUAUCCCUUAUCUGCACAAUUUUCCACUGUUACAAGGGGUUUGCUCCGUUCACUUGCUGACUCACAAUCUGCAUCAUCCAUGUCAUAGUCACGAUCAGCAUACAUCAUCUGGUGCAACCUCCUUUCCUUGUGAGUGGAACCCACUGAUACAGCUGUAUUUGCACUCCAUUUAUCUCUAUCUCCUUUCAGGACAUAUAGGAGGAGCUGUUUGAUCUCAGUGAGCCUAUCAGGAUGAUCAAUAGGCAGUCCUGUAGCUUCAUCAGUUAUGUAAACAACUGAUGCCAUUCGUGAAUUGUGGGUCCAGACUUCUGCAGCCACCACGUUGCAUUUGAGGUCAGUAAGAACAG
rnacentral:lncRNA from 1 species